CGCGGGUUUGGAGUGCAAGCUGUAUAGGCCAGCUGCGGCCAAAAGCAUUCCAGUAGCCCGAAAAAAUACACAUUACCAACCGGUUGCGUGUUUUAUAACGCGCCACACGACAACACGAACGAGGUAUAAACCAAAAUAGAUGCUUUCGAGAUGUGGUGCUGGCGCAAAAUGUUAGGAAUAUCAUGGACGGAGCGCCGCACUAAUGCAUCUAUUUUGGAACUGGAUAUCAGAACCCGUCUCUCUACUGUGUGCUUCCAGCGUCUGCUAACUUUUUUCAGCCACGUGGCCCGUUGAAAACCAGAUAAUUUGGAAAAAGUAUAAUGGUAGGCCACGUGGACGGAAGAAGGGCAGAGGUAAGGCACCUGCACGUUGGACUGAUCCUGUACGAGAGGCCGUCAAACGAAAUAUACAGUCGGCGGUGCACUUAGCACAAGAUAGAAACGCCUGUAGAGUUUUGGUUGGGGGAAGCAUUCCUGGUGGUCACGACCCUCAGUCUUGAGGAAUCG